rnacentral:tRNA from 1 species
GGGCCGGUAACUCAGUGGUAGAGUGUAGGACUGCAGUUCAACCAAAAACUGCCUUCCCGAAGUCACCGGUUCGACUCCGGUUCGGCCCU